rnacentral:rRNA from 1 species
GGUUCGAUUCUGGCUCAGAUUGAACGCUGGCGGGAUGUUUUACACAUGCAAGUCGAACGGCAGCACGGACUUCAGUCUGGUGGCGAGUGGCAGACGGGUGAGUAAUGUAUCGGAACGUGCCUGCGUGGCGGGGGAUAACUACGCGAAAAUAUCAACAAUGCCGCAUACGCCCUUCGGGGAAAGCGGGGGACCUUCGGGCCUCGCACUAUUAAACGGCCGAUAUCGGAUUAGCUAGUUGGUGGGAGUAACGGCUCACCAAGGCGACGAUCCGUAGCUGGUUUUAGAAGAGGACGACCAGCCACACUGGGACUGAGACACGGCCCAGACUCCUACGGGAGGCAGCAGUGAGGAAUUUUUGGACAAUGGGAAGCCACAGUCCAGCCAUCCCGCGUGUGCGAUGAAGGCCUUCGGGUUGUAAAGCACUUUUGGCAGGAAAGAAACGGCACGGGAUAUUACCCCGUGCAACUGACGUACCUGCAGAAUAAGCACCGGCUAACUACGUGCCAGCAGCCGCGGUAAUACGUAGGGUGCAAGCGUUAAUCGGAAUUACUGAGGCGUAAAGCGUGCGCAGGCGGUUCCGGAAAGAAAAGAUGUAGGAAAUCCCAGAGCUUAACUUUGGAACUGCAUUUUUAACUACCGAGCUAGAGUGUGUCAGAGGGAGGUGGAAUUCCGCGUGUAGCAGUGAAAUGCGUAGAUAUGCGGAGGAACAUGAUGGCGAAGGCAGUCUCCUGGGAUAACACUGACGCUCAUGCACGAAAGCGUGGGGAGCAAACAGGAUUAGAUACCCUGGUAGUCCACGCCCUAAACGAUGUCAACUAGCUGUUUGGGGCCUUCGGGCCUUGGUAGCGCAGCUAACGCGUGAAGUUGACCGCACAGGAAAUACGGUCUUAAGAUUAAAACUCAAAAGGAAUUGACGGGGACCCGCACAAGCGGUGGAUGAUGUGGAUUAAUUCGAUGCAACGCGAAAAACCUUACCUACCCUUGACAUGUCUGGAAUCGAAGGUUGGGAGUGCUCGCAAGAGAACCGGAGCACAGGUGCUGCAUGGCUGUCGUCAGCUCACGUGUCGUGAGAUGUUGGGUUAAGUCCCGCAACAGGCGCAGCCUUGUCAUUAGUUGCUACGAAAGGGCACUCUAAUGAGACUGCCGGUGACAAACCGGAGGAAGGUGGGGAUGACGUCAAAGUCCUCAUGGCCCAUAUGGUGAGACCCACACAAUCAUACAAUGGUCAGAGCGGUCGCCAACCCGCGGGGGGAGCCAAUCCCAGAAACCCGAUCGUAGUCCGGAUCGCAGUCUGCAACUCGACUGCGUGAAGUCAGAAUCGCUAGUAAUCGCGGAUCAGCAUGUCGCGGUGAAUACGUUCCAGGUCUUGUACACACCGCCCGUCACACCAUGGGAGUGGGUUUUACCAGAAGUAGUUAGCCUAACCGUAAGGAGGGCGAUUACCACGGUAGGAUUCAUGACUGGGGUGAAGUCGUAACAAGGUAG